AUGUUUGCACAUACUUCUCGAAAAAUGAUGUCACUUGCAUUGAAGUGUAAAACUUCGAAGGAGGUUCUUACAUAUCUGAACGUUGGUAUUGAUAAGUUGGCUUUGGAAGCACAUGAAUUACUUGGCAAUCUAAACUUAGAUGAGGAUGAUGAUUCUGAAAGUUCCUCCGAAAUGAAUGAAUAUGUUGCCAAGACAAUGGUGCCAUUCAAAGCUCCUGAACGAAUAAAAGGUCCAAUGAAAAAAAGAUCAAAAGAUGUUCUAGAGGGAGCAAAGAAAGGGAAAAAGGAAGGUACAUUUAAUUCUUAUGUGUGA
rnacentral:rRNA from 1 species